rnacentral:rRNA from 1 species
CGCGGCCUAUCAGCUUGUUGGCGGGGUAACGGCCCACCAAGGCAACGACGGGUAGCUGGUUCGAGAGAACGAUCAGCCACACUGGAACUGAGACACGGUCCAGACUUCUACGGAAGGCAGCAGUAGGGAAUCUUGCGCAAUGGGCGAAAGCCUGACGCAGCGACGCCGCGUGCGGGAUGACGGCCCUAGUGGUUGUAAACCGCUUUCAGCAGGGACGAAAAUGACGGUACCUGCAGAAGAAGUCCCGGCUAACUACGUGCCAGCAGCCGCGGUAAUACGUAGGGGACAAGCGUUGUCCGGAUUCAUUGGGCGUAAAGAGCUCGUAGGCGGUUCAGUAAGUUGGGUGUGAAAGCUCCGGGCUCAACCCGGAGAGGCCACUCAAUACUGCUGUGACUAGAGUCCAGUAGAGGAGCGUGGAACUCCUGGUGUAGCGGUGGAAUGCGCAGAUAUCAGGAAGAACACCGGCAGCGAAGGCGGCGCUCUGGGCUGGUACUGACGCUGAGGAGCGAAAGCAUGGGUAGCAGACAGGAUUAGAUACCCUGGUAGUCCAUGCCGUAAACGUUGCGCACUAGGUGUGGGGAGGAAUCAACCCUCUCCGUGCCGUAGCUAACGCAUUAAGUGCCCCGCCUGGGGAGUACGG